AGUGAACGCUGGCGGUAGGCCUAACACAUGCAAGUCGAACGGCAGCACAGUAAGAGCUUGCUCUUACGGGUGGCGAGUGGCGGACGGGUGAGGAAUACAUCGGAAUCUACUUUUUCGUGGGGGAUAACGUAGGGAAACUUACGCUAAUACCGCAUACGACCUACGGGUGAAAGCAGGGGAUCUUCGGACCUUGCGCGAUUGAAUGAGCCGAUGUCGGAUUAGCUAGUUGGCGGGGUAAAGGCCCACCAAGGCGACGAUCCGUAGCUGGUCUGAGAGGAUGAUCAGCCACACUGGAACUGAGACACGGUCCAGACUCCUACGGGGGGCAGCAGUGGGGAAUAUUGGACAAUGGGCGCAAGCCUGAUCCAGCUAUACCGCGUGGGUGAAGAAGGCCUUCGGGUUGUAAAGCCCUUUUGUUGGGAAAGAAAAGCAGCAGGUUAAUACCCCGCUGUUCUGACGGUACCCAAAGAAUAAGCACCGGCUAACUUCGUG
rnacentral:rRNA from 1 species